CGCCGGAAAACGCGUCGGAACCGCCGGAAGAAUCGAACCUUCCGGGCUUCGAUUCUCUCUCCUCGAUGAUCCGUGACCACAGGUGGAACGAUGACGACGAGACGCGUCGAACGUGACCGGUGCGCCACCGUAUCAUCGCCGGACAUCGGAAAACCGUAGCAGGUCGCCGUCGCGGGUCGUCCGGGCUCGAGAACGGGUCGUGGUCUCUGAUCGUUUCUAGAACGAUCUAGCGCGUC
rnacentral:lncRNA from 1 species